UCAGCCUCAUCUCCCCAGAGCUUGAAAAAAAGCUUUGCAACAAAUGUUAACAUUUGUGAAUGAAUGAAUGAAUGAAUGAAUGAAUGCUCUUUGCUAGUUUAAAGACAGAGUGUCCUAAAUUUAGCAACCCUUCCUAAUUAAAUUCAAGUUGCUGCAUUUAGGUAUGACAAACUGUUUAAAAAUAAAAACAGCAGAUGUUUGAUCUCUAGGUGGCAGGGAUUUUUUUCUUUUUCUUUUUUUUUUUAAUAAUCCUGUAUUUAUUUUUAGUCUGCAGGAAAUCAACCAAAUACUGGCAUUCUGAAAGCUCCUAUAUUAUGUCAGCCUAAGUCAGGCAUACUACAUGUACAAAGAUGACUGCUACCAGUUGGUGUUUAAAAGUAUUUUGACUGCCAACCUCUCUUCUAAAAACCACUUUAGUGUGGUUUUAGGAUACAGAAAGGAUAUCAAUGGCCAACUGAUAUUAAUCAGUUCACAAAGCCCAAUCAAGAACAUGUGAGGUCACAAGAGGAAUCCCAAGUCAACCUCUGUCCUAACAGGCUUCUCAGGGUGCGUUCACCAAUCCAGCAAACAGCUGCACUCUGGUGAAUUCCAGAGGGGGAAAGUGGGGCACGAUGACUCAGGACAGAUGUUCUGAGUUCAGGAUCUGCGUCACACGGACACACGAGUCAGCAGUGAUUCCAGUGCACAACUUAAAAAUGCCGUGAGGCAGAGCUCACUUUCUGGGGGCUCACAGUCGCUCUGAUCUGCUGAGAAGACUAGCUGAAGCCAAUAUCACCCAGGAGGAGCUGAAGGUCUAGGAUAAAGGGCACAAGCUAUUUCUGAAUGAACAUCACUUUAUUCAUCUUUAAAGCCUUAAUUAACAUAGCAAGAUAAAAUGCUAAGAAGAAGGCAGCAGAGGACCUAAGACAAACACAAGUGAGCCUCCUCCUGCUGCCAUUGUUCUGCAGUGGGAGUCUCGGGAGCCCCAGGGCACACCUUGCAGCAGCCGUCAGCCAGCCAUGGUCAGCCCGCCAGGGCACCGGGAGAGACCACAGCCUCUGCGGCUCAGGCAGGCGCACAGACACAGGCGUGCAUGCGGCUUUCUGCAAUUACAGCUCUCGCCCUCGGGAAGAGUCAAAAAGGGAGGGGGCGUGGGAAGACCCGGCAAGCCUGGCAGGAAGCUGCUAAGAGGACAAUGUCAUCUAACAAAACCUGAAGGUAAGAAACUGAGGACAAAACAAAGAAACCACUCGAGCCAAGUCUUGCUUGAUGACUGAAUGAGUUCACUGGGGUCACUCACAGAAGACUCCAAGCUGUUUAUUAUUUGUUGGGGAAGAGGAACACACAAGUACCACAGCACAUAUGAAGACCUGGGGACAGCCUUUAAGAGUUCGCUCUUUCCUGCCAUGGGGGGUCCAAGACUGAGAUCAAGGUAGCCAGGCUUUGCAUCAAGCACCUUUAUCUGCUGGGCCACCUUGCUGGCCCAACCACCCAGAUUUCUAAAAAUGCUCACUAGAGUUAGUACACAUAAUGACAGUUGCUAUAUUUGUAUACCUACUAUGGGCUAAAUAGUGUGAUGAGUGGAGCAAAUACAACUACUACUCUUCUGGAAUUCUAUACAUAGGAGAAGCUAUAUAUAGUCACCAGAUGUAAUCAAUACUGUGCUAUCAAAAUGAACUACAGACAGCAAGGAACACAUCAGAGACCUGCUCUUGUGAAGAUGAACAUGUGGGGAGGGGUGGCACAUAGCAAUCCAACCGCAAAGCUCUCAGUACAGUGUAAUUCACGCCUUGGCUUGUCAUCAUUAUUAAUGUCUUUCAACUAAUAUUUCUUUAUCUCCACCAAAACUUAAAUGUAGAUUUUAACUAUAUUUUGUAUAUAUUUUAAAUAUAAUGUAUGUGAGAACUGGUAUGUGUAUAAACUGCUAUACAUUUAAUCAAUUAGAAUAUAACAAUUAUAAAAUUACAAGAGGUAGGCUAUGUACAUAACUCCAGAAAUCUUUUAAGCAGCCAGAGACCACAGGUUUCUAAGCAUCUUCAACUGAC